rnacentral:rRNA from 1 species
UACGUAGGUGACAAGCGUUGUCCGGAUUUACUGGGCGUAAAGAGCGCGCAGGCGGUCGUUUCAAGUCGAGUGUGAAAGCCCCGGCUCAACUGGGGAGGGUCAUUCGAUACUGAUCGACUCGAAGGCAGGAGAGGGAAGUGGAAUUCCCGGUGUAGUGGUGAAAUGCGUAGAUAUCGGGAGGAACACCAGUGGCGAAGGCGGCCAACUGGACAGAUACUGACGCUGAGACACGAAAGCGUGGGGAGCAAACAGG